GUUUUAUUAUAAAACCCAAAAAUUAUAUAUUCAAAUUUCAGAGUGAAGUUGGGGUGAAUAUGAUUUCUGAUAAAUUGUAAACACUUCUUCCAAAAAAAUUCUAAUUUUAGUACAAUUCCAAAAAAGAUGGUUAAUUGCUUUUGGAUGUUCUUUGCAAAAGGGACAGUUAGGAUCAAUUUUUUAAUGUAUCUUAGCAUGAAUUGAUUAGUGGGGUAAAUUUUGUGAAUGAUUUUAAAAGAAACUUCUUUCAUUUUUUAUUUUAUUUAUCAUAGAUUUUUGGGUAACACUCCAGCCCUUUCUCCAAAUGCUGCCGGGAACAAAACGUCUUCAGUAGUUUCGAAGCCGCAAAACAACACGAGGAGAACGAACGGCCAUGACGUCUUACCCGAGCUCCAGUAAAGUGAAAUUUGAUUGGUCACGUUCUGCAACGCGACCAAUCAGCUGUCGAGUUGCAGCGCUCCGCGCCGCCAUGACGCAAUCUGUUUGAAAACAAUGGCGGCACGGAGCGUUAGGUCCGAAGAUGAAGACGGAAAAAAAGAACAAAAGUUGACCGUAGGAGACAUGGACACCCUCUAGUAAGCGAGGCUGACCGCGUCCUCACAACGAAAAGACCUCAGAGGAUCCGGGAGUUGGCGGCAGUGACCCGGCCGAGCCGAUAAGUUCAGGAAAAGAGUCUUCAUCUGAAGCGAUUGAAACAGAAUCACAGAGGCUGGACGACGUGGAAAAAACCAAGAAGAAGCUACAAGAACACCGGAUACGACCCCCCCCCCCACCUCGAAGUUUCCAUUCUUGUCCAUCACAAACACAAGAACCUCGGAGAGCAGCUCCAGUGGAAGGUCCGGGCAGAUGACAACUUCAGAACACCGCACAAUGAGGAGAUGACGGCAGCAGUGAAAGAUGUGGAACCAAAUUGGAGUUUCCACCAAGUUAGAAGAGCUUGCAAUAGAGCUAUUGACAGUCUCAAGUGCAAAGAGAGAGAAUGGAGAUAGAAGCAAGGAGGAGGUCAAAAGGAGGACCAGUCAGCACGAUCAGCUCUUCAAAAAGAGGGUCAAAAUUGCUGAGAAGAUUCUCAAUCAAGAGGAUCUGUCAUAAAUAAAAAGAGCCAAUGCAAACUAUGUCAGCGACGAGGAAAGUGACGAAGACAAACCAUCUUAUUAUCAAUCCUCGCCAAAGUGGCGCUCCACUAGGCUAACCAGGGUGAUGCAGAAAUGCCAUAAAGCCUGGCAUGAAAACUGGAGGAGUGGAAUUGAGCCAAAAUUACGCACGAGACACUCAGCUGGCUUUACUGAAGGAAACCCACCACCAGUCAAGAGCUGCUAUCUGACAGAAGAGAAAAAAAGGAUGCAUGUUUAUUUGUGGUUUUUGACC